CUCCGUUCACUGGCUCACUCCCGAACACCCACAACAGCUGGGAGCCGGGAGCUCCACCUGGUCUGGGGUGGGAGGCAGGGACAUGAGGACUUGAGGCCCCGCCUCGGGCCCUGCUGUGACUCAGCAAACAUCGCCUUCCACCCCGCUCUGAGCUGGCUGCCCGGGAGGUGCGUGUGGAUCUGCCUUUGGUGGGUCAUCUGCCCAGGCCUUAAUGAGGCCCCGCGGCCCCUGCUUAGGCUUCUCUUAGGGCUAGUCGUGUUCUCCAGAGGUGUUCUACCCCCUGCCUUGGGGGCUGGCCCCCGGGAGCUCAGUGCAGAGCUGGCAGUGAUCUCAGUGGCCGCGGUGAGCUGUCCCCUGCACUGCGCUCUGAGGAGACCAUGGCCCCGAGCUCACCACUGCCCCCUGCACUGUGCUCCACCACACACCCUAGCUGACCACUGCCCCCGCACUGUGCUCCACCACAGCCCCCAGCUCACCACAGCCUCCAGGUCACCACCUCCCGCUGCUCUGUGCUCCAUCAUGUCCUCCAGCUCACCACUGCCCCCACACUGUGCUCCACACAGCCUCCAGCUCACCACGGCCCCCAGCACUGUGCUCCAUUAUAGCCUCCAGCUCAUCACGGUCCUGCACUGUGCUCCACCACAGCCCCCUGCACUGUGCUCCAACACAGCCCCUAGCUCACCACGGCCCCCAGCACUGUACUACACCAUGUCCCCCAGCUUACCAUGGCCCCAGCACUGUGCUCCACCACGGCCCCCAGCUCACCACAGUCCCCAGCGCUGUGCUCCACCAUGGCCCCCAGCUCACCACGGCCCUCAGCACUGUGCUCUCACGACACCACAGCCCCCGAGCCCCAAGCUCACCACUGCCCCUGCACUCGUCUGUUACGCCCUUUCUGCUGCCUGCAAGAAGUCUUCUGGCACUGGAGAGACGCCUGGUCUGUUUCAUUUUUCUUUUAAGAUUUAUUGUGGGCUGGCACCGUGGCUCACUAGGCUAAUCCUCCACCUGUGGCGCCGGCACACCGGGUUCUAG
rnacentral:lncRNA from 1 species